AAGUCGUAACAAGGUUUCCGUAUUAACACGUAUCCAACGUUAAAACCGUGAACCUUCAGUGUGCUCGUACGAGCAAUCCCUGGUAAAUCAUCGCCGAACAGUUUUGAUUCAGGGACUUCUGCGAAGAGUGUGCUUGUAGCGCGAGGCAAGUGGCCUGGCAUCCUUGUCUGAAAGUGUCAAGGGUGGCGCAGUCACGAUCGCUAGAGGCCGACACGGCCGGCGACCGGGUCACCGGGCUCACGCCCCUUAAUAACCUUUGCAUGAAAACGGGCCUGCGCUUAAUUGUGCGGCCAUAAACCGAACAACUGUUAACAAUGGAUAUCUUGGUUCUC
rnacentral:misc_RNA from 1 species